AGAGUUUGAUCAUGGCUCAGAGCGAACGCUGGCGGCGUACUUAACACAUGCAAGUCGAACGAGGAUCAUCGGUGUAGCAAUACAUCGGUGGUCCUAGUGGCGCACGGGUGAGUAACACGUGGGUAACCUGCCCUUGAGCUCGGGAUACCCCCUCGAAAGGGGGGCUAAUACCGGAUACGUUCCUCGGAUCGACAGGUCUGGGGAGGAAAGGUGGCGCAAGCUGCCGCUCUUGGAGGGGCUCGCGGCCUAUCAGCUAGUUGGGGGGGUAACGGCCCACCAAGGCUAUGACGGGUAGCUGGUGUGAGAGGACGAACAGCCAAACGGGGACUGAGACACGGCCCAGACUCCUACGGGGGGCAGCAGUGGGGAAUUUUCCGCAAUGGGCGCAAGCCUGACGGAGCAACGCCGCGUGAGGGAGGAAGGCCCUAGGGUUGUAAACCUCUUUUCUCAAGGAAGAAGAUCUGACGGUACUUGAGGAAUAAGCCUCGGCUAACUCCGUGCCAGCCGCCGCGGUAAUUC
rnacentral:rRNA from 1 species